UCGAGACCAAAACAUAUCAAAAGAUUUAGAGAACUCAUGAAGCGAGUAGCGGCGGCUGCCACUGUGGAUGACCAUCCCAGCCAUUGGCUCGUCCCCUCCUAGGAGGGGUGCGGGGGCCACAGUCGAGGAUGGAUGAAACACAAAUCAGAGCAGCUCCGUGCCAAGGGAAAAUUGAAAGGCAUGGGCCCCGCAUCAGGCUCGGUGGCAUGGAGCAUCAUCACGCUCCAUGCGGAUGGACAUGACUCUCAGUAAUGGAUAUCUCGACUCUCACAUUGAUGAAGAGCGCAGUGAAAUGUGAUAUGUGGUGCGAAUUGCAAAAUACUGAGAACCAUCGAGUCUUUGAACUCAAGUUGCGCUCGAGGCCAGCGGGCUGAGGGCACGUCCGCCUGGGUGUCAAGCAUCACGUCGCUCUGUGCCAACUCUGUCCCCCCGAUGGGUGCAUGUCGGCCAAGGCACGGACGCGUAGGGUGGCCCAUCGUGCCCUUCAGUGUGGCAGGCUAAAGAGCCGGUCAUCGUCUCACUUGCUGUGGGCAAUGAGGGGUGGGUGAAAGCUUUGAGCAUAGCCCGUGUUGUCUCGUGCGGAGCCUGAGAGAAUGACGGUGCCCCCGAAGCAAUCUUGACUCACGCACCGAUCUGCAUGCGAUGGCUUGGAAU
rnacentral:rRNA from 1 species